rnacentral:lncRNA from 10 species
CUGCUUGGGACAGUUCUCCCUGCUAUUUCUGCCAACAGCCGGGCUAGACCGGCCUGCAGCAGGCAAACCUGCUCAUCACCUUGCUCAUGGCCUUGAGCUGAGCUUAAUGUGCCUCACCUGAGACCUCAGCUGUGCUAGCCAGAUAUUGUGACUUAGCAGACAAUGUUCUCCUCGCUUGACACCUCUGUAAAGCCCUAGCCCAGGGCCUGGUCCCUAGUAGCCCCUGAAUGCAUGUCAGAUGCACGACACUCGGUGAUUGACUGGCCUCACAGAUGCUUCCUCACCUCCUUCCAUGGGUGCCACGUUAUUACGUUGCAUCGUUGCUUUCUUGUUGCCACCCUUUCAUUCAUUCAUUGAACAGAAAUGUAUGGAGCACCUGCUAUAUGCCAGGCACAAUUCUAGGCUCCAAAGGUUCAACGGUGAACAAGAAAGUCCAAAACAUUCCUUCUCUCGUGGAACUUAGUUUCCAAUGGAAGAAGAUAGCCUUUAAGCAGAAUAAAUUUGUAUCUUACAUAAAGCCGCAUAUGAAACCCUAAUCAGUGCCACAAAGGAAGAGAAAUGGGAGAGAAGAACAGGGCAUGAGGUGUGUGGGAGGUUUGCAAUUUUAAAUAAGUAGUUCCUUUAAAUAAGUUUUUUUUUAUACUGUUACCCAAUAAAGCAGCUUUUAAGCCUUCUUCAAAGUUAAUCGUAUGUCAGUUUUUUACAAGCAGAAUCACCUGACACUUUUUGUUUGUUUUCCCUUUAGGGUUUUUGUCCCUCUCUUAAAGCAAGUGUUCAGAGUCAUGAGCAGAUGGAAGAUACAGGCGGAGGCGUCUUACCUGUCACCGUUGGUAUGUCUGGUUGAAACCUGCGACAAGAGGCAGCACUGUGUUGCAUGGCUCCAGAGAGCACCACUCUCCUUGUGUUCCAUGCAACAUGCCCACGAGUUAUGCAUUGGGGCACCUGGCUGUAAAUCAUCGCCAACCCUGUGAAUGAAGCAACACCCCAGGGAGGGUGGAGAAGUACAGAGGAAGGAGCCAGGGCCCCGAUGAAACAAACAUUUCUUCCAGAAAUUUCCCAAGCCCAGACCAUUGCAUGAAAAGAGAAAUAAAAUACUCUUUUGUUUCCAUCACAUUGUUUUUGGUCUCAGUUGGAGCAGCCGACCCUAUAUUGCAACAAUUAGACUCAAUCACCCUCAUUAUUAGGAAAGUCAGCUCUGCAGCAAUUCUUCCCUUAAACACCACAGGGUGUUUUGGGCGUUAAAGGAAAAACCUGAGAAAAACCUUACAUUUAGAAAAACUAAAUGUAACAGAAUUUAAUUGAGUGAAAAAUGGUUCUUGAAUUGGGCAAUCCCCAAAACAGGAUAGGUUCAGGGAGGCUUCCAGGCUACCGCGUGGUCGAGGAUGAUUUAUGGGCAGAAAAAAAGAGAGUGACAUAUAGAAAAUGGAGGUAAGGUACAGAAACAGCUGGAUGGGUUCUAGCUUGGCAUUUGACUUGUUUGAACAUGGUUUGAACAGUUGGCCGUCUUUGAUUGGCUGAAACCCAGAGGUUGGUACUAGAGUUGGUUAUAGCCUGUUAACACAUCCAGUUAGGUGAUAGUUCACUAUGUAGGAAGAAACAUUUAAACUAAACUGAAUUUAACAUGGGUAAGACGAGGCCUUUUGUUAAAGGGCCAUGAGGUUGAAGGCAACUUUCACCUCCAGAGCCCCUGCCUUCUGUGCCUGGAUGCCCAGAGGGUCAUCAGCCUGUGACGUCACAUAGGAUAUCAUCCAUCCUCCUCUGAGAACCCUAGCAGGGUAAAGAUAUGGCAAAACCCAGACUGCUGUAUUCAUCGCUGUAUACCUAGAGUCCAUCACUGUACUAGCACACAGUAGGGCUCAGAGGUGCUGCUUGCUCAGUAAAGGGCUGAAUGAACACAUUGAUGGCUAUAGCCAGUGAGUGAUGCACCAGGCGGGUGCUCGCGUUCCUCCAUGCUUUGGCUCCAUCCAACCUAUCUGCUUCCUCUACAACGUCUUCUUCCUGUGUGGACCAACAGCAGCAACAGCGCCUGGGG